UUAAGCACACUCAUAAGACUUCAAAUACAGCAAUUAUCAAUUUUACAAAAAUAUUGGGAUACUUUAUCCGAAACUGUUCCUUGCUACCUCGAACAUUUUACAUUCGCAGAUCGCAGAAGAAUGACGUUGAAAGUGCACGUUGAAUAUUGUGGUGGGUGAGGUUACGGGCCUCGAUUCCAAGAACUUCGCCAGCAGAUCCUGGCUGAGGUUCAGGGGGUCGAGGUCACAGGAGCGGUGGGCAGGAGAACUUCCUUUGAAGUGACUGUAGGGGACACACUGGUGUUUUCUAAACUAAAGCUGAAUGCAUUCCCAAUUGCACAGGAUGUGAUUGCAUGCAUCAGAGAAGCCCAGAAGGGACAGAAUCCCAGCAUUAUAGAAACUGGGGAGUCAGCAGGUUGCAACAUUCUCUAAGUACAGCAUACCACAGCAUAGAAAGCAUUCCAAGUGUUAGUGCAUAUGUUCUUACAAAUUUCGCAGCAGUAUUUAUGAAGGUGGGAGGGAAAUGUCUCGAGGUCAACCCCCCUGUCUGGAGACUUUCACUGCUCAAAUUUGUACCAACAUGUUCAUUCCAAGGAAUGUCAUAAAACUUUUUAAUUUCCUCUUCAACUCAUAUGAUUUAUUUAUUCUCUUGAAGAGGUAAUGUUAUUUUUUUUCCCAUGUGUUGUAAUUUAUACAUAUACAGUAGAACAAUUUUUCUUAUACAAUGAAUAAAUUUUUUUUCUCAUAAA